GGGGUCUUGGCACAGAUGGUAGCGCGCAUGCUUCGCACGAGUAUGUAAUGUACGGUAUUGCAUGAGGUCGUGAGUUCAAUUCUCACAGGCUCCA